rnacentral:tRNA from 1 species
GGGGUGUAACUCAGUUGGUAGAGUGCUUGCCUUGCACACACAAGGUCCUGGGUUCAAUCCCCAGCACCACCA